rnacentral:misc_RNA from 1 species
GAUGAAGAACGCAGCGAAAUGCGAUAAGUGAUGUGAAUUGCAGAAUUCAGUGAAUCAUCGAAUCUUUGAACGCACAUUGCGCCCCCUGGUAUUCCGGGGGGCAUGCCUGUCCGAGCGUCAUUACAACCCUCAAGCUCAGCUUGGUGUUGGGCCCCGCCGCCCCGGCGGGCCCUAAAGUCAGUGGCGGUGCCGUCCGGCUCCGAGCGUAGUAAUUCUUCUCGCUCUGGAGGUCCGGUCGUGUGCUCGCCAGCAACCCCCAAUUUUUUUCAGGUUGACCUCGGAUCAGGUAGGGAUACCCGCUGAACUUAAGCAUAUCAAUAAGCGGAGGA